GACGAACGCUGGCGGCGUGCUUAACACAUGCAAGUCGAACGGUAAGGCCCUUCGGGGUACACGAGUGGCGAACGGGUGAGUAACACGUGGGUGAUCUGCCCUGCACUUCGGGAUAAGCCUGGGAAACUGGGUCUAAUACCGGAUAGGACCACUGCCUGCAUGGGUGGGGGUGGAAAGCUUUUGCGGUGUGGGAUGGGCCCGCGGCCUGUCAGCUUGUUGGUGGGUUGACGGCCUACCAAGGCCACGACGGGGAGCCGGCCGGAGAGGGUGACCGGCCACACUGGGACUGAGAUACGGCCCAGACUCCUACGGGAGGCAGCAGUGGGGAAUAUUGCACAAUGGGCGCAAGCCUGAUGCAGCGACGCCGCGUGAGGGAUGACGGCCUUCGGGUUGUAAACCUCUUUCAGCACCGACGAAGCGCAAGUGACGGUAGGUGCAGAAGAAGGACCGGCCAACUACGUGCCAGCAGCCGCAGUAA
rnacentral:rRNA from 1 species